AAUCGUGAAACCGCGAAUGGCUCAUUAUAACAGCUAUAAUUUACUUGAUCUUGACACAAUCCUACUUGGAUAACUGUGGUAAUUCUAGAGCUAAUACAUGCAUUAAAGCUCUGACCUCACGGGAAGAGUGCAUUUAUUAGAACAAAACCAAGCGGCUUCGGCUGUUUCUGGUUGACUCAUAGUAACUGAGCUGAUCGCAUGGUCUUGCACCGGCGACGUGUCUUUCAAGUAUCUGCCGUAUCAACUUUCGAUGGUAGUGUAUCUGACUACCAUGGUGAUCACGCGUAACGGAGAAUAAGGGUUCGGCUCCGGAGAGUUCGCCUGAGAAAUCGCGAACACAUCUAAGGAAGGCAGCAGGCGCGAAAAUUACCCACUCUCAGCACGAGGAGGUAGUGACGAAAAAUAACGAGACCGUUCUCUUAUGAGGCCGGUCAUCGGAAUGGGUACGAUUUAAACCCUUUAACGAGUAUCUAUAGAGGC
rnacentral:rRNA from 1 species